rnacentral:rRNA from 1 species
AUUGAACGCUGGCGGCAGGCUUAACACAUGCAAGUCGAACGAGUGGCGGACGGGUGAGUAAUGCUUGGGCCUCUAGCUUAUGGAGGGGGAUAACUACGGGAAACUGUAGCUAAUACCGCGUACCAUAGGAUGAGCCCAAGUGGGAUUAGGUAGUUGGUGAGGUAAAGGCUCACCAAGCCGACGAUCUCUAGCUGGUCUGAGAGGAUGACCAGCCACACUGUAACUGAGACACGGUCCAGACUCCUACGUGAGGCAGCAGUGGGGAAUAGUGCACGAUGGGCGCAAGCCUGAUGCAGCCAUGCCGCGUGUAUGAAGAAGGCCUUCGGGUUGUAAAGUACUUUCAGCGAGGAGGCGUUACUCGCAGAAGAAGCACCGGCUAACUCCGUGCCAGCAGCCGCGGUAAUUC